UGACCUUCUUUUCAACGCAGUUUUCUCCACAUUUGAAUUUUCAAUAUUUGUCGACAGGACGUUUUCCUUUUUUGUACCAAUUUGGAGAUUAACGGCUGUCACACACGAGACCAAGUCCUGCUCUUAUUGUCUAUUAAGUAGACAAGAGCCAGGUCGAAAGACUAAGCAUCUGAUAACACACUGACAGACAAACAGCGGACUAUUUCUAGAUGGUCACUUAUGCUUACGACAGAGCAAAAUGGAAGGCUGUUUGGAACUAUUUCACAGCGGAAACUAAGCUGAUCUGAUUGUGGCAGGGACCAGCUGGUGGCAGUUGUGGGGUUGCUCAGGGCUCACUCUCCAGGGAAAUGUGUUCUUCUGUGAUCACGACCGGCCAUUAUAUAGGAGGCUCAGUAGGGCUGCCUCUGGCUGUCAUGGGAAACUUGGCAUGGAUUCUUUAUGUGGACCCCUAAGAGCAGACAGCCCUUACACGAUGCUGAUAGGUCAUCUCCCUCAGUCAAUUAGCUAAUUGCCUGAAAUCACCCCUCAUAGAUCAAGAAAAACUGCCUUCUAAAUGAACUCGGUUUGUACCCUUUUGACAACCUUAUUCAGCCCUGAAGCCCCUGCGGCGGCACAAAAUUCUGCCAAAGUGCAUCACCGGUUACAGUGAACAAAUCCCUCUGACUUUACAGUGCACUUUUUAAAAAGGAGGAUUUUUUUUUUAAUGUAGCUUCCUGGAUACACCAGGUGUGAAUGGUAAAUAAAAGAGCAAGCGGUUCCGCUGCCCGUCUUUGGCCACUCCCUUCGAAGCAAGCUGAGGUCAUUCCCGCUGCUUUCUCUUUCGCUGAACAAACUGGGUCUUGCUGGAAACACCUUUAGCACGACAGUCCCAUCUAAUCCAACACAGAGCUGAUCCUAAUAACUCAGGCUGCCUAGGAGAUGGGGGGGUAGCCCCCCCCCCGUGUAAGCAGUGAGCACCCCAUUUCUGUAGCUAAUAUUGAAAACUGGAGACAGCCAUUGUGUCUGGCCUGCUGAGGUGCACCGAGUGACCUUGCACUGGGUGACCAAGAGCACCUUCCUGAUACCGUUGCCCUCUGCCUCCUGCUAGCCUUUACUUUCUUGCUUCCCUUCCAACUUAGAACCCUUUCUUUAAAGGUCUCACGUCCCACGAAAAAUGCACAUGUGGAGGGAAUACUGUAUCUUACACAUCUGGAAACACUGGAAGUGCUUUAUCGAGGGGUGACGUAAUCGCUAAAUAAAGGUCAGAUAGGAUUUUAAUAAGCAGACACUGAGGAAAGACUGCACGAGAGUCUCCAGGAAGGGGAAAAGGGUACUCGUCACGUGACAGACACCACUCUAAGUGCGCCUGUGUAAAUCCACACCUACUCCUUACCAUCAGUGACUCUGGAAAAGACAAGCGUUUUGCUCAGUUCAGACCCAGCACACAAUGGUAAGAGUCUGCUGGAAGGAGGACACAUGCCGGGCAUCCGAUAGGUAUUUGUCACAUAAAGAAACGGAGCGGAUGCUGUGUCAGAAGUAGAGGAGAGGCAACGGUGCACGCAAGUAAAGAUGAGAGAUGCACAUUGGAGCCUCCGGUAUGCCCGAGGCCACCUUAGAUACCACACGUGGAAACCUGACUUCAUUUUCUAGGCAACGAGAAAGACAGUUUCUGGAUGCUGGGUACUGAGUAAGGAAAGCACACAUCAGUUCAGAUGAACCAGAUUCAAGUACUCAGGCGUUACACAUGGCUAGAGACAACAACACUGGACGGGGAAGAACCACACAAUAAGGAAAGCAUGACUGGAAGAGGACCAGAGAAGAAGGCAAACAGGCCAUGCUGAAAGCUUCAACAAAUUUGCUGUCUUCCGAUUUUGGACCAGCUGGCGUCCAUCUCCACUGAAACAAGGCCAAGUAUCAAGGAGAAUACGGAUGGAGCUGCUGACAGCGUACCCCCAAAGGAGUCCUCAGGGGAAGGGGCUCUAAGGGAGAC